rnacentral:rRNA from 1 species
GACGAACGCUGGCGGCGUGCUUAACACAUGCAAGUCGAACGGUGAAGCGCCUUCCUUUUUGGUGGGUGUGGAUGAGUGGCGAACGGGUGAGUAACACGUGAGUAACCUGCCCCCUUCUUCUGGAUAACCGCAUGAAAGUGUGGCUAAUACGGGAUAUUCUGGGUCUGUCGCAUGAUGGGUCUGGGAAAGAUAUUGUUUCGGUGGGGGAUGGGCUCGCGGCCUAUCAGCUUGUUGGUGGGGUGAUGGCCUACCAAGGCGGUGACGGGUAGCCGGCCUGAGAGGGUGGACGGUCACGCUGGGACUGAGACGCGGCCCAGACUCCUACGGGAGGCAGCAGUGGGGAAUAUUGCACAAUGGGCGCAAGCCUGAUGCAGCGACGCCGCGUGAGGGAUGGAGGCCUUCGGGUUGUGAACCUCUUUCGCCAGUGAAGCAGGCCUGCCUCGUUUGUGGGUGGGUUGACGGUAGCUGGAUAAGAAGCGCCGGCUAACUACGUG